rnacentral:tRNA from 1 species
GCCCGCUCGGGUCCCGGCCGGGCAGGUCGCCUCCUGGGUGGGCAGCCACUGCCGCGGAUCGCCUCCCCGGGGUGGGCA